GAUCCUGCUCAGGAUGAACGCUGGCGGCGUGCUUAACACAUGCAAGUCGAACGGGAAACAUUUCAUUGAGGCUUCGGCGGAUUUGGUCUGUUUCUAGUGGCGGACGGGUGAGUAACGCGUGGGUAACCUGCCUUAUACUGGGGGAUAACAGCCAGAAAUGGCUGCUAAUACCGCAUAAGCGCACGGGGCCGCAUGGCCCUGUGUGAAAAACUCCGGUGGUAUAAGAUGGACCCGCGUUGGAUUAG
rnacentral:rRNA from 1 species